AUACGUAGGGUGCAAGCGUUGUCCGGAAUUACUGGGUGUAAAGGGAGUGUAGGCGGGAUAGCAAGUCAGAUGUGAAAACUAUGGGCUCAACCCAUAGACUGCAUUUGAAACUGCUGUUCUUGAGUGAAGUAGAGGUUGGCGGAAUUCCUAGUGUAGCGGUGGAAUGCGUAGAUAUUCGGAGGAACACCAGUGGCGAAGGCGGCCUACUGGGCUUUAACUGACGCUGAGGCUCGAAAGUGU
rnacentral:rRNA from 1 species